rnacentral:rRNA from 1 species
CCCCCCUGGACAAAAGACGGACGUUUCAGGUGAGAAAAGCGUGGGGAGCACAAAGGAUUCAGAUACCCUGGUAGUACUCGUCCGUAAACGAUGCCGAUUUGGAGCUUGUGCCCGUGAGUCGUGGCUUCCGGACCUAACGCGUUAAAUCGACCGUCUGGAGGAGUAUGGCCCGCAAGGUUAAAAGGCAAUUGAAUUGACGGGGGCACGCACAAGCGGUGGAGCAUGUGGUCUAAUACGAUGCAACGCGAAGAACCCCACCUGGUCUUGACAGCCACAGACCUUGACUUAGAUGGAUUGGUGUCUUCGGGUACUGUGAGACAGGUGCGGCAUUGCUGUCGUCAGCUUGUGUUGUGAAAUGUUUGGUUAAGUACCGCAAGGAGCGCAACCCUUAUCCUUCGUUGCCAGCGGUUAGGCCGGGACCUCAAAGGAGACUGCCACUGAUAAACUGGAGGAAGGUGUGGAUGACGUCAAGUCAUCAUGGUCCUUACGACCAGGGCCACACACGUGCUACAAUGGCAUAUACAAAGAGAAGCGACCUCGCGAGAGCAAGCGGACCUCAUAAAGUAUGUCGUAGUCCGGAUUGGAGUCUGCAACUCGACUGCAUGAAGUCGGAAU